UAGCAUGAAGUCAGACAAGUGA
rnacentral:rRNA from 55 species